rnacentral:lncRNA from 1 species
UGCUGGUAGAAAAAGCCAACGAAACCCCUAAAUUCCUGCAAGGUCGGGGGCAACCGCAAAUUGAUGUCCCUAUCCUAAAUAAGCUGGAGAGCUCAGCAGGGAUAUGGACAUGGGAAAAAAUUAUAAAUCUAGUGGCCAAAUUGUGGCAUACAGUCAGUAACCGGACUCAGGAAGAGAUUGAUCCUGCUAAUUUAAUCACAUCGGGGCACAGUACAGUGUGAGAACAAAGUGUCAAGUGUUCAGUUCGACGGCCUUAAAUCCUCCCUGCACAUAGUCAGGAUAUGGCUGCAACCAUGCAGAGAGAAUGUAGAGUGGCAGGAAACUGUACAGAGGCCAACACUGUUCUCAGAGGCCUCCAUCAUUGUUGUCUUCUGUGCUUGGGGUGCCCUCUACUCUUACAUGUCUCUCCAGGGCACACGUGGAGCCAUAGGAGAGGACCGUGGUUUUCUGGGAUAUCUCUGAGUAAGACUGUGUCAGAGUGGCAGUUUCAUUGAAGCAGGCUUGCUAACUACAACUGUGCCACCCGACCCUGCCUGAUUCCCAUCUUCCCCAUCAAACAUGUGACAGCACUUUCUACAGGAUGGAGAGUAAGAGGUAGCCAUUUCUCAACGGUACCAACCAGGACCACCCUAUUUAAGGAUACAACUGUCUCCACUCCCAUUACCCAGGUGAAGUACCGGUCAGGUUCAAGUGCCAUUACCCGAAAAAUAACUCCAGAUGAUGCAUCACUUCUGGGGAAGUGCUAUUUGGUGAUGAAAGAUGUUGGAAGUUUAAAUCCAUCCAUUGCCUGCUCAGAAAGUGGCUACUUUUCCAGGCAUAGGAGAGCUGCUUGGUCAGAUGCCACCCGCUCUGUCUUUCAGUGCACAGGUAAUGGGAGAAGACAGGAAAAUAUGGGUUCUGAUGGCAAUAGCCUGGCCUCAGGAAUAUAGUUUCAGUUGGUUAUUUAUUCUUUUGAUGCUGAAAUUGCCAGCAUCUAGAGGUAAAGAAUUACUUUGGAACAAAAAAUGUUUUGUCCACCAGAGAAUGUAGACGUUACAGAGCUAUUAAUCAAGACAGCCAAUCUGAAAGUGGUUUUCACAACAGGAUUUAGGAGAGAAGGAAAACUGGAAUUAAACUAUAAAAUGACUCAAGGUUGAAGGAGGAUGAACUAACUGAAUUACAGAUUUUAGAAAUUCAACAAAUUAUACAGGUAUAACACUGUGAAUGCAAGCACGUGGUUCAUUUGAGUGGUCUAGUUUUUCUGUUCAUUGCUAAAAUGUUUCUGAGAGUGGCCCUCCUUUAACCUGCUGUGUCUUUUCCAACAAUGUGGAUCUACUUUGUCACUUCUCCUCUUUAUUUGUGUGUGUGUAUGUGUUUCUGUGUGUGUGCACCUGUGUGUACAUCAGCUUUAGGCUGUGAGAGUUAUAAAGGUGAGUUACACAGUCUCGGUCUUCAGAAAAUGUACUGUUUACUAGAAGGUAAAGGAAGGCUGCGUGCUUAAUUAUAAUAAGGCAAGUUCUAACAAAAUUAAGACGCAGGGUGGUGGGGCCAUAAUGUGUGGCUAGAUUCAUAGAAGGUUGCUUGAAUGUUGUAUAUUUGCUAAGAUCCCAGAUGAUGAAAUGAGAAGCACAGUUUUCAUGCUUUCUCCUUACUAACCUUGUGCUGGUUAUACUUUUUUAAAACUGUUUCCUUGAUGUUGCAAUGGUGUAAUCCAGUGAGAAUAGAUGACUGGCUCAAAGUAAGCACUCAAUAAAUAUUGACUGUGUUGACUCUCAUUACUUUAAUCAUUAGUAUCUUUAAAUACACUUAAUAAAAGCCUUUCUUAACAAGCAUAGCUGGAGGCCUUUCAGGAAACAAUAAGAUGAUAAUAACUAACACUUACCGAGCACAAAUUUGUGUUUUACACACUCUGCUAAGCACUUUACUUACUUUUAUUUGGUUUUAUAAACAGUGCUAAGAGGUAGGUAUUAUUUUUGUGUCCACUUCACAGAUAAUGAAAUAGAAGAUCAGAGAGUAUAUGUGAUUUGUCUCAGGUUGCAUAGCUAGGAAGUAGCACAGCCAGAUGAAAUGGUGCUAGCUCAUUUAGUAUUAUAGGUCCUUGACCUCCAUUUAUUUUUGUAUGUGUUUGUUUUACUGCUUUGUUCCCACCCAUGAACACUGCUAGAAAAAUUAAACUUUUGGUUAAUCUAUUCAUUUAGUAUCUCAACAAUCUUUUUUUAAGCUUCUAAGUGCUAGACAUUGUGCCCUGGUGGAAAUAAGACAUGAUAUCUACUUUAGAAACACAAUUCAG